rnacentral:rRNA from 1 species
UACGUAGGGUGCAAGCGUUGUCCGGAAUUAUUGGGCGUAAAGAGCUCGUAGGCGGUUCGUCGCGUCGGCUGUGAAAUCCCGAGGCUCAACCUCGGGUCUGCAGUCGAUACGGGCGGACUGGAGUUCGGCAGGGGAGACUGGAAUUCCUGGUGUAGCGGUGAAAUGCGCAGAUAUCAGGAGGAACACCGAUGGCGAAGGCAGGUCACUGGGCCGCAACUGACGCUGAGGAGCGAAAGCUGGGGAGCGAACAGG